GAUGAACGCUGGCGGCGUGCUUAACACAUGCAAGUCGAACGGUGAAGGCGGAGCUUGCUCUGCUGGAUCAGUGGCGAACGGGUGAGUAACACGUGAGCAAUCUGCCCCUGACUCUGGGAUAAGCGCUGGAAACGGCGUCUAAUACUGGAUACGAGCUGCGAAGGCAUCUUCAGCAGCUGGAAAGAAUUUCGGUCAGGGAUGAGCUCGCGGCCUAUCAGCUUGUUGGUGAGGUAAUGGCUCACCAAGGCGUCGACGGGUAGCCGGCCUGAGAGGGUGACCGGGCACACUGGGACUGAGACACGCCGCAGACGCCUACGGGAGGCAGCAGUGGGGAAUAUUACACAAUGGGCGAAAGCCUGAUGCAGCAACGCCGGGUGAGGGACGACGGCCUUCGGGUUGUAAACCUCUUUUAGAAGGGAAGAAGCGAAAGUGACGGUACCUGCAGAAAAAGCGCCGGCUAACUACGUG
rnacentral:rRNA from 1 species